rnacentral:tRNA from 2 species
GAAAUAUGUAAUUCAAGAAAAAGCUGCUAACUUUUUUCUUUAGUGGUUAAAUUCCAUUAAUAUUUCU